CCCGCGGCUCGCGCCGGCUCCGCCAGGAGCGUGGGGUUACCAUGGCAACCAGCGCGGGCUGCCCUAGGGAUCUUGGGGAGUAGGAAACUCCCGCGCCAGCUGCGCUCCGCGUUGGGAUAACGUUUAUUUAUAACUGCUGAUAGACUUUGGUGUUCUCGACAAUUCCAUAUCAGGAGUGAAUUAGAGGAGAGAAGCAGUGUGGUGCAGUGGGGAUCUUCAUCGCUCUCUGUACUUUUUGGCAGAGAAGAGCUAGCAGGAGGGUGUGUCAGUGUCUUCUGGAGUUUAGAGAGGCUAAAAAAGCUAUAUACAAGGAGGGAUAACUUGGACGAUUUGAGAGAGAGAAAGACUUGGAAACAGCACAGAAUGCAUCAGGCCCUAUUAGGUUGUUUGACUUUCAUGAGAUGAAGCAAUUUCAAGUGUGAUUCAUUUUAUCCCUUGGUGAGUGAAAUCAUGAUGUCCUGUA